CCAGUAUUUUUCCUAAUGGUGUCCAGAAUACAAGGACAUAAUAUGAAACUUUCAUGAAUAUCAUCUCUCAUAUAUUCACUCUUCUCCUUUUCUAUUUUCAGGUAGUUAAGCUUAUGUUACAAUUCUCACUAUUUUUCAUACUCCUCUAUAAGCCUUCAUGAUGGGUAAACACAUAUAAGUCCAUGCUCCAUUAAUCACAGCAGGCCACAUCUGACCUCUGACCUUGGCAUAAAUGAUGGACUGUCCUGUUCUGGCUAAAACGUCUUCACUUGUUAAAAAAUGAAACUCAAGGCAUUUCCAGGAUGUACCUGGCAUUAGAACUGUGUGACUUCUUGGCUUGUGCCUCUAGCACCUGAGAUGGUCCUAAAGUUAUGUUGUGCACAGUGGUUGCUGCUGGCACAAAUGUUUCGACACCUUGAGGCUCUCAAACCUCUGCUCCAUGUGUCUUGAGUCUCUGUAGAUAACAACAUAGUGUAGGGUGCACACGUCCUGGCAAUUUCUCUUGGAAUGACUACAGUAGCUAAUGGUCAUGGGACCCACAAAUCUUGGUCCCAUUUAUAUAUACUACAAAUGGCCUUAAAUCCACCGCCUUACCUGUUGGGAAUGAGCCCAAGGGAUCUUAUUCAUGAGGCAAUAUUUUACAAAAGCUAAGGAUGACAGUUUUCCUCAAGAGGAUUUUACUUCCAACUCUGCAAAAUGUCUGGGAUCAAGAGAAGCAAAUAGGUUGACUCUCAGCUUGAAAUAAGAGGACGGAGAAAUACUGAAGAUAAAUAAAACAUUGCCACAAAAAGAAAAAAAAAAGCUUUCAUAUUGUAUUGCAUAAUCAAGAUCUCCAGCCUGAAUGGGGGCAGGUUCCAUAGAGCUGCCUCCAAAGUAAAACUGCAAGUGAUAGGGAAAUUGUGUCAACUUUAGCCUCUUGGAAGGGUACUCAUCUGCUCUGACGUGGGUAUGUUGCCCAAUAUAGGUGCCAGCAGCAUCUGCAAGCAGCAGCUAGAUAUGGGAUGAAGAGAUAAUCAUUAACAAGAAAAGCAGAAUAAAAAAAAAAAAAAAAACCAA